GUUCAACACGGAGAAUACUGUUACCUCAAGACAAAGCAUCAAGUCUCCUGGUCUGAAGCUGAUCACGUGUGUAGACAUCGCGGCAUGCAGCUUGUCAGCAUCCAUUCAAAUAGCCAAACAGACUUCCUUGUAAACUAUACCCAGCACACAUCUGAAACACUUUAUUAUUGGAUUGGAUUAGUUAGCUAUAAAAAUGGAUCUUUCCACUGGGCUGACGGGUCAUCUAUGACCUACAUUAACUGGGAUGAAGACUCUUCUGAAAAUUCAAAGCACUCAGACGAAAAGUGUGCCGUAAUGGACAGCAAAAAGGGACGCUGGUAUCCUGUAGACUGCUUCACCCAAUCCCAUGGCUACAUCUGCUCAUCUCAUGCAA
rnacentral:sRNA from 1 species